rnacentral:tRNA from 7 species
GGCCCGGUAGCUCAGUUGGUAGAGCACUCGCCUGAAGAGCGAGGUGUCACCAGUUCGAUCCUGGUCUGGGCCACCA